GACGAACGCUGGCGGCGUGCCUAAUACAUGCAAGUCGAACGCAGUGGGGACGGGUGAGUAACACGUGGGUAACCUCCCAUCAGAGGGGAUAACACUUGGAAACAGGUGCUAAACCGAUACUGAUGGAUGGACCCGCGGUGCAUUAGCUAGUUGGUGAGGUAACGGCUCACCAAGGCCACGAUGCAUAGCCGACCUGAGAGGGUGAUGAUCCACACUGGGACUGAGACACGGCCCAGACUCCUACUCUGAUCAUCAGUAAUAAAUCUUCGGCAAUGGACGAAAGUCUGACCGAGCAACGCCGCGUGAGUGAAGAAGGUCUUCGGAUCGUAAAACUCUGUUAUUAGGGAAGCGGUACCUAAUCAGAAAGCCACGGCUAACUACGUGCCAGCAGCCGCGGUAAUUC
rnacentral:rRNA from 1 species